rnacentral:rRNA from 1 species
UACGUAGGGUGCAAGCGUUUAAUCGGAAUUACUGGGCGUAAAGCGUGCGCAGGCGGUUUUUGUAAGUCUGUCGUGAAAAUCCCCCGGGGCUCAACCUGGGGAACUGCAUUUUGUGACUGCAAGACUAAGAGUGUGUCAGAGGGGGGGUGGAAUUGCCACGUGUAGCAGUGAAAUGCGUAGAGAAUGUGGAGGAACACCGAUG